AACGCUUCUUGGCCUUUUGGCUAAGAUCAAGUGUAGUAUCUGUUCGCAUCAGUUUAAUAUCUGAUACGUCCGAGGACAAUAUAUUAAAUGUAUUUUUGAAGCUGGGAGUUGGAAUAGGAGCUUGCUCCGUCCACUCCACGCAUCGACCCGGUAUUGCAGUACCUCCGGGAACGGUGCACCCCCU
rnacentral:snRNA from 1 species